AGAGAUUAUUUUUUGAUUUACCAGUUAAUUUGCCUAUGAAAUGAAUAAAAUGAACUGAGCUAGGUGAAAGGAAUCAUGAUACUGUGUGUUAAAAUGAACCUGCCCUGUAUUCUGCCUCAGUUGGAUUCAAUGACUUCAUCCUUGAUUCCCUAAACCUGAAGUCAUGGGACACCCAUCAGAAACUGUUCCGGUCACCCUGUUAGUGUCUAAACCACAACCGCAGAGCCAGCCUCGUGGAUGACAUGGGGGUGGGGGACUGGAGCCACUCCCAUCCACACAGUGGGACAAAUUCUGAAUGGAUUAUGAACCUACUCAUCUGAAAUGAAUUAAGAAACUAAAGCACAGUGUAAUCUGAGACCGUGUAAGAUAAAUGGUGCUGUGUAUCAACUUUGUAUUUGGCGUUGUGUGGGCUACCCGUGCAGAGAGAAUCACACAAGGGAGGAGUGUGGUCUGUAUCAUGACACCAUGGUUAUUUGCAGGUUAAGGCUUCUCCCGCCAAGCCUCAAGACCUGAGUUCGAUCCCUGGGAUCUACAUGGUGAAAGCAGAGAAAUGACUCCCAUGGGUUUGCCUCUGACCUCAUAUGCAUGCCGUACUUACCAGCCCCAUGCUGCCGACAAAAUAAAUGAAUGUGAAAAAUA